rnacentral:rRNA from 1 species
UACGUAGGAGACGAGCGUUGUCCGGAAUUACUGGGCGUAAAGCGCGUGUAGGCGGAUGAGCAAGUCUGCUGUGAAAGCUCCUGGCUUAACCGGGAGUAGUCGGUGGAAACUGCUCGUCUGGAGGACGGUAGAGGCUGGUGGAAUUCCCGGUGUAGUGGUGAAAUGCGUAGAGAUCGGGAGGAACACCUGUGGCGAAGGCGGCCAGCUGGGCCGGGCCUGACGCUGAGACGCGAAGGCGUGGGGAGCGAACGGG